rnacentral:tRNA from 1 species
GGGCCGCUAGCUCAGUUGGUAGAGCACCGCCCUUUUAAGGCGGGUGUCCCCAGUUCGAGCCUGGGGCGGCUCA